GAUGAACGCUGGCGGCGUGCCUAAUACGUGCAAGUCGAGCGAACGGACGAGAAGCUUGCUUCUCUGAUGUUAGCGGCGGACGGGUGAGUAACACGUGGAUAACCUACCUAUAAGACUGGGAUAACUUCGGGAAACCGUAGCUAAUACCGGAUAAUAUUUUGAACCGCAUGGUUCAAAAGUGAAAGACGGUCUUGCUGUCACUUAUAGAUGGAUCCGCGCUGCAUUAGCUAGUUGGUAAGGUAACGGCUUACCAAGGCAACGAUGCAUAGCCGACCUAAGAGGGUGAUCGGCCACACUGGAACUGAGACACGGUCCAGACUCCUACGGGAGGCAGCAGUAGGGAAUCUUCCGCAAUGGGCGAAAGCCUGACGGAGCAACGCCGCGUGAGUGAUGAAGGUCUUCGGAUCGUAAAACUCUGUUAUUAGGGAAGAACAUAUGUGUAAGUAACUGUGCACAUCUUGACGGUACCUAAUCAGAAAGCCACGGCUAACUACGUG
rnacentral:rRNA from 1 species